GGGCUAAAUAAUAAUGCUAUAGUUGUUUUGUAAACAUAAAGCAUUCCAGGAAGAUAAUAUUGCUAAUCAACUGAGCUUUAAAACAGAUAUGAGGCAGGGCACGGAGGUUCACACCUGCACUCCCAGUAGUUUGGCAGGCCAAGUUUUGAUGGCUCUGGCAGAAAGACUUCCUGAUCCAAAUUCACCCCUUAUCAUCAUCACAGUAUAUACAUGUUCAGGGAUUAAGGGGAAAGAGCAUCCAAUCCUACUGCUUUCCUGCGUUGGUUCCCAUACACAAGUAAAUGUCCUGUGUUAGUGACUAUCAAAUAUUCAUUUAUUUGAUAAGGAAAUUUGUGUUUCCAAACUGUAAAACAAAAAUAUUACUA
rnacentral:lncRNA from 1 species